GGUUGAAUGUAGUUAUUCCUUCGUCACAAUGGUAACUUGUUGAUCCUGGAAGCAGUCCGUGCUUAGAAGUGAUACUACUGCUGCUGAGUACCACUCUGCCAAUGGGUUAUUGCCCCAGAACUCGACAGAAGCCAGGACUCAACAGGAAUAUUGGAAGCUGUAACGUACCAAGAUUCUGCCGUUGCUCUUCCACAUAAAUGGCAGAGACAAGGAAUGGGGGGAAUGAAGUGAACCAUGGAAUUCUUUUGGACGUAGUAACAGCCGCGAUGAGGCCUGCGUGUGGACGAAAAUAGCAACACAGCAGGAGCAGCAGCAGUUGACUAAACCGGUCACCCGAGCUGACCCGUGAAUACAAGCAGCAAAGAUAAGGGGGGCGGACUCAAGACCACCGUGUGCAGAGCGCAGAAGUGAAAUGGAAGUGAGAGACGAGCGCGGCAGAGUUCUGACAGAGCAUGUUUCAUGUGGGUCCGUCUGCCGGGAUGUGCUCCACCUCUGGCCAGAUUCCACAGC